rnacentral:rRNA from 1 species
UGCCAGCCGCCGCGGUAAUACGAGGGGUGCAAGCGUUAAUCGGAAUUACUGGGCGUAAAGCGUACGCAGGCGGUUUGUUAAGCAAGAUGUGAAAGCCCUGGGCUCAACCUAGGAACCGCAUUUUGAACUGGCAAACUAGAGUCUUGUAGAGGGGGGUAGAAUUUCAGGUGUAGCGGUGAAAUGCGUAGAGAUCUGAAGGAAUACCGGUGGCGAAGGCGGCCCCCUGGACAAAGACUGACGCUCAUGUACGAAAGCUAGGGUAGCAAAUGGUAUUAGAAA